UUCCGCCAUGGAUUCACAGGACAGAACCAUUCUUCCUUCUCCCGUGGAAUCAGAAUCUCACCCUUUGCGGUGGGAGCACACAGUAUCAUUGGAUUUGGGCUCUCCUUCACAAUUUCAGGAAGACGAAAGAGUACUAUACAAUCAAUAUCAAUAUCCUCCUCCGCUGCGGCAGAGAAAAGUAUCAUCAUCAUCAGAAUCAGAGUCUCUUCCUGUGUGGGCAGAGCAACCACCAGCAAACACUCCUCCGCAACCGCAACCACCGCCUCCGUCUCUUCAACGUCGAAUACUUCAUAAAUGCAUUACAUUUUUUAUCGUCGACCCUCAAUUACACUACCUAUUCGUUCCCUUAAUGAUACUUUGGGCCAUCAUCCAUCUGCUGUAUACAUUUUCUCUUAUUAUACGCGCAAUCAUCCAGUAGCCCAAGGAAACACAAAAGUUGAGAAGAAGGGGGAAUAAAGGAUUGUAAAGAUCUGGCUCCUAUGGUAGCUUAAAUUUGGUGCAUGUUAAGCGACGUGCCAACGCUUCUACUGAUUUCAUGUCAAAGCUUACUCUUAAUAGUCCUACUAGAGUUUGGUUAGGGGAUGGCCCAGUGGGUCUUUUAUCGCUUCUGGCAAACGAUUUGUACUCGUUUCCAGGCGUGCGUUUAAUUGCA